GACAGAGGUGCCAAGCGUUAGGCGGAAUCACUGGGCUUAAAGCGUGUGUAGGCGGAAUUGUAAGUACCUUGUGAAAUCCCACGGCUCAACCGUGGAACUGCUCGGUAUACUGCUUUUCUUGAGCCACUUAGGGGCUACCGGAACAAAUGGUGGAGCGGUGAAAUGCGUAGAUAUGCGGAGGAACACCGAUGGCGAAGGCAAUCCCCUGGGCCUGCACUGACGCUCAUGCACGAAAGCGUGGGGAGCAAACAGG
rnacentral:rRNA from 1 species